ensembl:lncRNA
CUGUUUAUUAUAUAUACUGAUUGCCUACAUACUUCUACCCCUACCUACAUGUACAUAUUGUAUUACAUCAAUUACCUCAUCAAAUCGAAUGACAAUUUAUUGGUCACUUACGCCGAAUACAACAGGUGUAGACAUUACAGUGAAAUGUUUACUUACGAGCCUGUUUCCAACAAUGCAGCGUUAAAAAGUAAGACAAAUAUCUGCUAAAUACAAGAGGAAAUAGUAACACAAUAAAAACAAUAAUGAGGUUUAAUACUGUUGGUCAAAUUCUUCAACAGAUUAUCAAAUUCUCAAACUUAUACAUUAGUAGUAGAAAGGAAACACAGAGUUUUUAAGUAUAAAAAUUCUCCUUUAGUAAUACAAUUGUAGGCUGAAGCUGGUACAGAGUACAGUAUAUGAUAGCUUUCCCCGGGUUCUGCAAGGUGUCUAAGACAUCCUGCAACUUAUAUAGCCUCCCCAUUGACAUUUCACAACAGAUAAGUCUAAGCAUCUUCUGGCAGGUGGAGGUUUCCAUCAGGCCUGCAGUGGCCUUGUGUUCUCAGAAAACCAGUCGUAUUCUCAGAGCGUCAGACAGCCAUGGUGGGGCCCAGACAGGAGGAGUAUGAGCGUAGGUGGUUUCCAUCAGGCCUGCAGUGGCCUUGUGUUCUCAGAAAACCAGUCGUAUUCUCAGAGCCUCAGACAGCCAUGGUGGGGCCCAGACAGGAGGAGUGUGAGCGUAGGUGGUUUCCAUCAGGCCUGCAGUGGCCUUGUGUUCUCAGAGCCUCAGACAGCCAUGGUGGGGCCCAGACAGGAGGAGUGUGAGCGUAGGUGGUUUCCAUCAGGCCUGCAGUGGCCUUGUGUUCUCAGAAAACCAGCCUCAGACAGCCAUGGUGGGGCCCAGACAGGAGGAGUAUGAGCGUAGGCAGUUUCCAUCAGGCCUGCAGUGGCCUUGUGUUCUCAGAGCGUCAGACAUCCAUGGUGGGGCCCAGACAGGAGGAGUGUGAGCGUAGGCGGUUUCCAUCAGGCCUGCAGUGGCCUUGUGUUCUCAGAAAACCAGUCGUCUUCUCAGAACCUCAGACAGCCAUGGUGGGGCCCAGACAGGAGGAGUAUGAGCGUAGGUGGUUUCCGCCUUCUGAUAUUGUCUGAAGGGCACAACACUCAAAACAGGUGUUAACACACACACAGAGGUCUCCUAAGAGAAGACCCUACAGUUUGUCAUCACACAAUUUAUUAACCCUUUAAAAGGUAUGAGGCCUUUGUUUAUCCCAGUCAUUCCCUCCUUUGAGGCCACCAGGCCUCAACAAAUGCAAAGUAACUCAAGCAUAGUGAUUAUAAGAAUCAUCCAUAAAAUGUGCUUUAGACUGUAAGCAAUCCUCAGGAGAUUGAGGAUAGAAAUAACGGUCUUGGUGUGCACUCUUAUCUGUUAUGGUGGUUGUGACGUCUUCUGGUAGUGCAAUAGGUGGUGCCACCCCUGAUGCUCCUAGACCUUCACCGCUCUAGGUGUUUCUGCGAUGGCCUGGUAGGAACCUAUCCAUCUGGGGUGCUUCCACUUCCUUUUGUGGACCUUCUGCUUGAUCCAUUCUUCACCGUCAACAGGUAGGCUGUAUUGGUCACCCUGAUCUGGAACUUCCUGGGCUUUCCUGUAUUGGGAACACAAAUACAUAACAGCAUGAGUUAGUUCCUUCAUAUAUUUGCUCAAAUCAUCAUCCAGUGCAGUCAGGUCAGUGGUCUGUGUAAAGGAACGCUCAUUGGAUUGCCAGUUAAGAGCUCAUGUGGGCUAAGCCCUGUUACGCGGUUUACACUAUUGUGCAUUUUCAUCAAGACUAAGGGGGACACUCUACCCAUGACUUCCCUGUGGAGUGACAUGCUUUGGCAAGCCCCCUUUUAUGGUUUGGUUAGCUCUUUCAGUAAUCCCAUUACUUUGUGGGUGUUAGAUACAAACAAACUUCUGAUCUAUCCCCAAUUGGGCAGCCAC